UACGGGGGGAGCAAGCGUUGUUCGGAUUUACUGGGCGUAAAGGGCGCGUAGGCGGCCACCGCAAGUCAGUUGUGAAAUCUCUGGGCUUAACCCAGAACGGUCAGCUGAUACUGCGGGGCUAGAGUGCAGAAGGGGCAACUGGAAUUCUCGGUGUAGCGGUGAAAUGCGUAGAUAUCGAGAGGAACACCUGCGGCGAGGGCGGGUUGCUGGGCUGACACUGACGCUGACAGCGCGAAAGCUAGGGGAGCGAACGGG
rnacentral:rRNA from 1 species